UCCAACGUGAUUAAUUGUAUUCUGGUGAUUUGAGAAGGCAAAUUAUUUGCUGUUACGGUGAACGACAUUAGUGGAGUCUGAAGGCUGUGCUCUUUCCCUUCAUCUGGGAAUUCUUUAACUCGAUCAGGCCAGUGGAGAGGAGCUUUCACAGAGGCCUGUUCGACUUUGUUUUACAUCCCGCAGCAGAGUGCUGGUUUCUGGAAGCAGUAUUUUCCCUAUGUGAGAUUGUAAGUCAUGCCUACGUCAUCAUGUACUUGGAUGGAGUUCAAAUGGAGUUGACGUCGUUUGAAGAGAAUAUCCCCAUUCAUAAAAGACGGAACUACUUCCUCAAUGUAACAUCUUGAUAAUGUCAAAUAGAUUUAGAAUUCUUUGAAGAGUACGAUUUUUGUUCUUAGCCUAUGAAAUAAUUUUGGGGGGAAAUAGAAAUAAAACACAUUUUCUCAAUUUUAUAUGUCUGCUCCUCAGUUUAAACUGGUCAAAUACUCAAGCUUGUAACCUAAAGAUGAGUUCUUUGAUGACUUUUCCUCUACCCUUCAAAUUUGAAAGCUGCCACUAUUUUACAAUUUAAAAGAAGGGCUCUAUAAUGUCCUGUUGCUAUUUAUAAAUAAUUUGUCUUUAUUACUCAGUGUUAAAUAAUUUAUGACGUAAAAAUCAGUGCCAACAGUAAGUUUUGUUUGAAUUAGCCACAAACCAUGAGUAAAUACAUGGAAACAUUCUUCAGGAAAAUUGAUCCGAAUAAACCUAUCUUUCUACCUACCAUACCUGGGCUUCCACAGCCAACACAUAAACAGAGAAAGCAGCUGCAGGAAGUCACGAGCAGCCAAUUCUGAUUUCAGCAGCCAAGGAACAUCUUGAAAGGGUUAUGCUGAAGGACCUCGCUGAGACAGGAAUCCUGGGAGGUGAACAAUAAUUUUCUCAUAGAAAGUGAACAAAGAUGUUUAAUAUUCAGUUCACAUUAAAAUGAAUCGUGCAAAGCGUUGAACAUAUUAAAUAAUUCCAACAGGGAAGCGUCAGGAAAGCAGACCUCUUUGUAUUGAAGUAGAAUUAAUAUGUCUUUUUUAUUACAAUAAAUAAACACUGAGUAAGACACAGAAAAAAAUCCCAUGCCCUACUGCAGCUGGUAAAAUGCUUCUGCAGCCAGAACAAAAGGCAGAGGAUGCUCAAGGCAGAGGGGCCUGAGAAGUGAUAGACUAGAUCUCAGGGGAGAAAGCUCAUUUAAAUUAAGAGGAAGAAGUACUCCUUUCGAUCUGAAUAUGCAGGAGGUUAUCAGUUUUGGUAAGGGGUAUGUAUAACUCACACUUGGGAAUCAUAUACAGGAUGUUGACAGACAAGGGCUCUGGCACCCACCGACGGUUUUGUCAUAAGUCCACUGUCUGUAUCAUCCAUCUUCUUCUUUUAAAAAUUAGCAUCACAGGGAGUUCUCUUGUGAUGCAGCAAGUUCGGGAUCCAGUGUCACUCUAGUGGCUCGGUUUGCUGCUGUGGUGUGGUCUGAUCCCUGAGCUAGGAACUUCUGCAUGACACAGUGUGGCCAAAGCAGAAAAUCAGAAUGACAAUGUCUGUUGUAUCAUAAAUCUGAAAGGGUGUCCAUGUCACUGGUACCGUACACCCAUCCAUGUGUCAGAGCUGGGAUGGGCGUACAGUGCCAGGAAUGCGGACAUCCUAUCAGAUUUACGAUAUAAUGUAACUUUGAAUAAGGUAGAUGAUGUAGACAGUGGACUUACUACAAAACAGCUCAGGACUGUAUAUGGAUAAGCAUGGAUUUGGGUACCCGUCGGUGGAUAUCACAGUCCUUGCCUGCGAACACUUGUGAAUUCUUAUUUAAUGGAUAAAGACAUGGGUUAUAAAAGUUUUCAGUAAAUGAGAUUUUCUGUUUACACCUAUUGCAUUUUCUGCAUUCUUUUGUUUCCCAGUUCAAUUAAAUAAUCCGUUAAUCUAGCCGCCUUCCAGUCUGCGCUCCCGCUGCAAUGUGUAGACUGCAUUCCAUCCAUAGUCUGCCACGCGCUGACCUGUCGCUUUUUGCUUUCAUUCAGCAGAAAAACCCCCUUGUUUAUUCACCCCCUGAAAACUCUGUUUCUAAAAAUUGAAGGUCGUGUGUGCUCUUCCAUCCCUCAGCACGCAUUUCCAAAUAGUGAUUUAAUCACAUCACUAAGAUUGGGAUACGAAAGCAUGUUUCUCACGGUGCUUUCUUCUCAUUUUAUGUUUACUCUCUUCAUUAAACAAAAUAGCGAUGCCUCAAGCGAUGUGUACACCGUCUUUCUGGUUUGGAAGUGUGUGUUCUGAGCAUUUGCCUUCCAUAGAACAUACUGCUAAAUGAAAAUAUAGGUUUGUGUUUGUAUAUACAUACAUACAUACAUAUACACACACACACACAUAUAUGUGUGUAUAUGUUCUAAGUUUAUUUUUUUGUCUUCUGCUUUGUCCUCUACGUAACACCAAGGUAGGAAUCUUUGUGUUGUUCACUGAUAGGAGCUAAUGAAUCCAGUGCUUAGAAAAGAGCCUGACAUGGAGGCAGAAGGUACCAAGUGUUGGGGGAGAAGACGACCCGAGCUCUCCUGCUUGAACAGCUCUUCACUAACGGUCUGAAGGCGACCCUCAAAUGCAAUGAGGUGAUGAGGUACUGACGCACGGGGUUUGCAGCAGGCAUCUGAUUGUUCUGCCCAGUGUCGCUGCCGACACAAGAUGGGAUUCUUUCCUGUGAUAAUGUUCUUUUUUAAAAGCGAGUCCAGAGAUGAACAUUAUUGCGUUCCAAGANCAAUGAGUUCUAGGGUGAAGAGGGGUCUGGUUUUAUGCCACCAUGUUUUCCUCUUCAAAUCUGUAGUGAGAGUCAUUCACGUUAUUAUGUUGUAAAGUGGCCUUUUCAUGAGUUGUAAUCAGUAUUCGAAUUCAUCAGAAUUUUACAUGUCAUGUAAAGCAGGAAUGUAUAUGUAUGUUUAUUCCAAUAUUUAAAUGAUUCAAGAAAAUAUUGACAAAUAUUUUUGGCUUCUCCAUUUAAAUAGGGAAUCAGAGGUGUCAGAAUUGUGGUGUCAUAUUUGCUAGACUCUUGGGACCUCAUUAAAUGUGUAAUUAUAAGGUGAUAAUUGUAGUCUUCAGUCUGACUGAACUGGGAAUAUAUUGUGAGUAAAGUUUCCAUUUUAUGAAGAGAGAUGAACAAGAAAGUCAGGAAGUGUAUAAUCAAGGGUGCAAUGUAGGUUAUGGAUUUGAUAUUAAAUUCUUACUAUUUUAUGAACAACUUUCAAUUUGCGUACACUCUCAAUUAACCAUGAGUCAUCAGUAUUGACGGACAGAAAAUUUAGAGUCAUUUAAAAAUCUGUAAGUGUUUACUGAAGUGAGUCUCUAGGCUGUGGCCAUUUCAAAUACCCACUCAAAAAUCCAGAUGCUGUGCAGUUGCUAAAGUACAGUUAUGUUAGACUCCACACUUCCCUCUUCCAGCUGGGACCAUUCUACAGGUCCGAAUGCUUUUGAAGCUAUAAAUGCAUGAGGAUGAAAUUCUUAAAAACAAACUUUUGUUCUAGAACAUAACAGUUCUGACGUGGACUGGCCUUCCUUGGAGAAUUGGGGUGGCUAGUAAUUCAAUGUUAUCUCUAUGUGACCCAAUUUGGAAUAGAACAGAUCAUUUUGUAAGGCAGUUGAAAAACAAUAGUAUUUAUUGAGCAUUACCUUGAUUAGGUCAAGGGGCCAUGCUGAAUGCUAUUUCGAAAGCUCUGGUCAAUUUAAAAUACUUUGAUGAAAAUUUAGAACUAAGAGGAUAGCAAUGUCCUUUUUACUUCAGCGAUUUAACGCAGUAAGAUUCCUAGGUAUAAUUAGCUAAUGUAAAUGUAAUUCCUAGUUAAGAUUUAAGAAUGCCUGCCUAACACCUUAAGUCGAUUAACUUUGAAAAUGUAAAACUGUUUCUCCACUAUUUAUUAAAUUAUUUGAUAUUAAGUGUUGGAUUCUAUCUAAUUCUGUUGAUAAAACUUUAAGGUAGCUAGAGGUUGAGAAAUAAUUAUUUUAUGGAUAUUUCACAUUUAUCUUUUGGAUUUUCCUGACAUAAGUACAUCAUUUUUGUGUUACCAUGUCUCAACUUUUCUAAAAAAAGUUUUAGCCUUGACCCGGGGUUCAUUUUCUUUUACAUUAUUUUCUUUCUUUUUAACUUUUUGAGGCAAUUCUUGGCUUUGUGGAGGAAUACCAGAGAUAAAUUCAUCAAUAAGCAAAUGUUUCCCUUUUUAACUUUUUAAGUUAUUUUACACAUUAUUUUACUUUUAAUCUUUUCUGAUCUGUUUGACAAAAUUUAGCUGUUGCUUACAUGUCAGCAGUAGACACUGUUUAUACGUCUUUUGGUUUCUCAUAAAUAAUUGUGAUAAUUUAUUGAGGUGCUUGCACAUCACAUAUAUAAAAUAUUUUGUGAUUUUAUGUGUCUUAAUGUGUUCUGACUUUGCUAUAAAAUAUCUUUAACUUUUAUGAUCAGCUAUUCCAGUGUGUCUUGUAACACUCAAUAGCCAUACAUAAAACAUCUGAUGAUUAUGCUGUUUGAAAUCUAGCUUCAAAGAUGGCAAUUUAAAUAAUUAGGAAAUUGGCAAAAUAUUUUUCUUGCAAGUCACUUAAUUUUUUUUGCCAAACCACUAAAACACAUUUCUGCAAAGUACUAUAAUUGAUGCCACCAACACACACCAGGUGUCACUUCUGAUUCUAUUAGAACCAAGAUUCCAGUUAAGUCACUGUGAUAAAAUAUCCUUAUGUGCAGAUUCUGUGCAGUGCAAUGUUUAGUUUGAUAGAAUGAGACAAAUGAUAUCAGUGUAUUGUCUAUUAGACCUGAUGUACAAUAAAUCAGAUGAAAGCUUAGCCAACAUGCUACAUGCUGCAGAAAAAUGACAACCAGAUUGGGAGAAUCUUAGAUGUUAAAAAACAAACAAACAAAAAGUCGAUUUUGUUUCUCAGUUCCAAUGUCUGCAAAUAAUUGUUUUAAUCAGUGUUAACCAUGAAUUUGCAGUUCUUAUUCUCAUGACACUAAAUAUCUUUGUGGAUGAAAAUGGAGUAGCAUGCAUUUGUUUUCCAAAAGAAGCGUGGGUAUUUAUACUCUAAAUUACCAAAGGCUCUGCUUUUAGCAACACAGGAACUCCUGCAAUAAGGAUUAAGUGUGAAAAUGAUCACCACUUAUGUAAGGUGUAAUAGAAAGUUUAGAAAGAAGACGGCGAUAAUUUGUCUACAGAGAGAAAUUUUAAUAUUACUAGAUUUAAGCAGCAUGAGUCUGCAGGGUAUAUACCAUACCUCCACUGCAGAAAGGUGCCUAGCAAUGUACAAUUGCGUUAAAGUCAGGAAGAAAAGUACAGAUCUCAAAUGUAAUUUUAUGGGAAUUACAGCUGGAAGCCGAUCAUGUAAUGUUUUCUGAAGAAAAGGUAUUUUUUCAUCUGAGACUCUUCUUUUCUGUUGUGCCCGUUCACUCAGCGUGUAUUUGGAAAGGAUGGGAGCUCCCUCGUGCUGGCCUCUCUGUCCCAGGUGGCACGGGCUUCCCUGUGGAAACCCUGGUUGGACGUGUUCUGCGGAGGUUUUAUGCCCCCCCCCCGCCGCUGUGCAUAUAAAUCAGUGUCGCUUUAUUUUUCUCUGUAGGUCAUUAGCACAUGAGCACCCAUCCUUCUCUCAGGUGUCUUUUAUCCCCAAACUUUCAGGGAACCUGGGGCUAUUUGCGUAUGUUCACAAAACCAUUGCUGCUCUUAGCUUUGCCGUUUGUCAUCUCUUAUCUACAAAAAGAGAAAUUGGCCUAGUACAUAGAAGCUAGAAUUCCUAUAGGGUAAUUUCAGAUAGUCUUGCCUUUAGGCCUCUGCUGCUUUCUGGGCUGAGUGGUGAGUGUUGGGGACCCAGUGGGAUGCCAAGGUAGAGGCAGAGUAGGUCCCUGUUUUAGGUGCUUGCCCGUUGCCAUUAAGAACGGACAGUCCUCUCCCUUGGCUUGGAAUUAUAUGAAGUGUAAGGAUGCUGCUAGAAGAAUCGUUUCUGCACUGUGAUAGGCAGAAUUCUAGGUCGUCCCCUGAGGUCCCACACACCCUUCUUAACCCCUCGGAGGGCGAGCGGGUAUGGUGGCCUAUUACCCCCUGUAAGUAGGGGGUAUUUUAUGCCACCGUUGACUUUGAACGAUAAUCUGGGUGAGAUGAACCUGAAUCAGAGGAGCUGCUUUAAAGCUGAAAGUUGUCUCCUGCGGUUACAAGAGGGAAGGCAGAGAUUUUAAGCGUAAGAGGGUGUUUCCCAUUGCUGAGAUGGAGGGGCCAUGUGGCAAGGACUGGAGAAUUGUACCACGUCCAGAGUCAUCUCUCAUCCACACCUAGCAAGCCAAGAGCACCUCAGUCCUACAACCACAGAAAUGAGCGCCGCCCGAAGCAGCUUGGAAACACACCUUUCUCCAGUCCCAGGUGAGAAUGCCGCAGGCUAACGCCUCGAUUUCAGCCUGCGAGACCCUCAGUAAACCAGGCACUUUGCUGACCCGGAAGCUCAGAUGAUAAAUGUCUGUUGUUUGAAACUGCCUAGGAGUUCCUGUUGUAGCUCAGUGGGUUAAAAACAGGACACUGUAUCUUUGCAGGUUCGAUCCCUGGUCUUGCUCCGUGGAUUAAGGAUCUGGCAUUGCCACAAGCUGCAUAGUAGGCCAU
rnacentral:lncRNA from 1 species